rnacentral:lncRNA from 1 species
CUCCAUCAAGGACUCUCUCAAAGUUCUGGAUUCCUGAAAUGAUUUAGUCCCUAAUGUCCAUAACAAAGUGCAGUUGGGAUCCUUCCUGCUGUACAAGCCAUUACCUUUGUAAAAAUAUUUGGAAAAAAAAAUGUGAACAUAAAAAUGAGAGCCUACUUCAUAGCCAUAUAAAAAGGUUCUUUGGAGGAACAUUAGUAAUUACAGUUACAGAAGUAUUUAACUCAGCCGGAGUAAUAUUCACAUCUUGUAUUAGGUUCUCAGCCAACUAAUAAGGGCACCUUAAAAGCAUGAACCAACCAUCCACCACCACCAGAUAAUCGAUGACAACUACGAAAACUAUCAGCUUGUUUUUCAGAUUGAUUCCUUUUCUUUUUUUCUUUUUCUUUUCUCAUUAACAAAAAUUGAGCGACCGCGUGAAGUGCUAGGAUGUGCAGCGAGAUAAUACAAAAUUAGUGAAUAUUUUCACCAACAAGGGUAACAUCCAUUUGAUCAUAAAUUUCUCCAUGCCUGCUCCAACUAGCCAUGCUGAAAUAUGAUUUCUGACAGAUCAUCGAGGAGACAGAUUUUUUUUCUUAUUUUCAAGAUAUUACAAGCAGUAAUUGAAUUCCAAAACGUCACUUUUAUAAGAAUUACCAUACUGUCCGACACUACCAGGGCAAAGAUGAGCAAGGGAAUAAAUUUUGAAAUGGUACCACAAAACAUCUUGGCUGUAGAAAUCUCUAAGAACAAAGUGAGUCGAAGCAACUAAAAUGCAAAUCCAUAAGCUCUGUAACCUUUCGCAUAUGCAAUAUACCAGCUCAGAGCUCUGUGACAUUUAGGAUAUGCAAUUUCUCUGUCACCACCUCUCUUCUAACAAGCGGAUGAAAUUGGAUCAAGUCAAAAUCUGUCCUAAAAGUUCACAUAUUUUAUUGUAUUGCAUCUAAAGGAAUUCAAAAGGUUUAAUUUACUCUGCUCUAGAUCUGCCAUAGGAAAUUUACAACGAAAAGAAACCAAGCGAUCAAAAAAAAAUGGGGGGAUUCCCUGCAAAAUCUUAAUAGCUAUACAAUCCGUAACAAAAUUUAUGCAAAUAUUCAAAUACCGAGAAGUUUUACGGGAACGGCACGGAUUUCUGAUAGCCGAUGGCGCAAUCCUCCCCUUCUUCCUCAGGUCUCUCUCCCUCCGAAAGGAUCGGUAUGGGGAAGAAAGAGUAGGAUAGCGGAGGCCGCGCCGGCGGGACACCGGCGGCGGCGGAGCACGGCGGGUGGAGCCGACCGACGGCGGAGGUGCCGCAGCGAAGGGGAAAUCGCGAAGAGGACGGUCAAGGAAAUGUCGUGUGGAGCCUCGAACACCGUCUCCCGGCGGCUGCGGAACACGGCGGGGUGGAGCGCAUCGACGGCGGAGGUGGAGCAGCGGAUGGGAAAUCGCGAAGAGGACGGGACACGGGAAUGUCGCGUGGAGCCUCGAACACCGUACAAAAAUGUUAGAAAAGGGCUAAU